GAUGAACGCUAGCUACAGGCUUAACACAUGCAAGUCGCGGGGCAGCAUGGGGGUUGCUUGCAAUCCCCGAUGGCGACCGGCGCACGGGUGAGUAACGCGUAUCCAACCUGCCCUUCACCACGGGAUAACCCGGCGAAAGUCGGACUAAUACCGUAUGUUGUCCAUUGACGGCAUCCGAUUUGGACGAAAGGGUUGGCGGUGAAGGAUGGGGAUGCGUCCGAUUAGCUGGACGGCGGGGUGACGGCCCACCGUGGCGACGAUCGGUAGGGGUUCUGAGAGGAAGGUCCCCCACACUGGAACUGAGACACGGCCCAGACUCCUACGGGAGGCAGCAGUGAGGAAUAUUGAUCAAUGGGCGUAAGCCUGAACCAGCCAAGUAGCGUGCAGGAUGACGGCCCUAUGGGUUGUAAACUGCUUUUAUGCGGGGAUAAAGUGGCCCACGGGUGGGUCUUUGCAGGUACCGCAUGAAUAAGGACCGGCUAAUUCCGUG
rnacentral:rRNA from 1 species